GAUGAACGCUAGCGGCAGGCUUAAUACAUGCAAGUCGUGGGGCAGCAUGAGUGUAGCAAUACAUUUGAUGGCGACCGGCAAACGGGUGCGGAACACGUACACAACCUUCCUAUAAGUGGGGAAUAGCCCCGAGAAAUUUGGAUUAAUACCCCGUAAUAUAAUGAUGUGGCAUCACAUUAUUAUCUUAGCUUCGGCGCUUAUUGAUGGGUGUGCGGCUGAUUAGAUAGUUGGCGGGGUAACGGCCCACCAAGUCUACGCUCAGUAGCUGAUGUGAGAGCAUGAUCAGCCACACGGGAACUGAGACACGGGCCCGACUCCUACGGGAGGCAGCAGUAAGGAAUAUUGGUCAAUGGACGCAAGUCUGAACCAGCCAUGCCGCGUGAAGGAUUAAGGUCCUCUGGAUUGUAAACUUCUUUUAUCUGGGACGAAAAAAGGCGAUUCUUCGUCACUUGACGGUACCAGAUGAAUAAGCACCGGCUAACUCCGUGCCAGCCGCCGCAGUAAAAC
rnacentral:rRNA from 1 species